AGAGGGCGAAGCCUAUACGAAAUAGAACCCGCUUCUUCUCAAACUAAAUUUGGGUCCUACCUUACCUCAAAACCUUGACAAUAGUGGAGUCGAAAGAGAUGAGUUUUCAGUCUGCGCCGGAAGAUGUGUAUCAGGAUACAAAACAAGGGCUGUUUCUGACCCCAGUGGAAGGAUCUUGCUCCUGAGAGCCUCUCAUUCUGAACAAAGCUUUCAGGAGGUGUCGCACUGUUGUUCCGGAUGUAUUUUUCUGACCAGGGGUUCAUGAAAUUGACCUAGGAAAAGGGUUGUGACAGUUCCAGCAAUCAGGAAGUCAGGUUAAACACCACCUUGUUCUGCGCUGUAAAAAAAAGGUUGCAUGAGUGUCAGCAAUCACGUGAGGCUCAUACUUCAAAAUGAUAAUAUCUGUAAUUAAACGUUAUUAAAGUCUGUUUGCCGUCAAGAUAAUAACAGCUGCCAGGAACAUGGCUGCAUGAAAGACUCUAAAGGGCCAUUCUGCCUCAAAAUGCAUAACGUUUUCAUGACUGAUAAUGAAAGAUUGUGUUCACAUUUGGGGGUGCUGAAUUAGUGUGUGGGCUACAUACUGAAGGAAGUCAAUUAAAACAGAAUACAUAGGAAUAUUUAGUGUUUUGGAUACCAUUUGUUACUUUGGAGUGAAUUGAACAGUUCAACUCCUUUAGAAAGGCACUUGGAAAGUUCUAUGACAUGCUUUAAAACGUUUUUAUUUCAUGUCUGCCUUUUUGUAAUAAACACAUUUCCCGCAGUAAAUAUAAAUUAAUAAAAUAAUACAUCAUUAAAUAAAUAAAUUCAAAAUGUAAAAAUGUGUGUUGAUUUAUGAAGUUGAAUCAAUUUGAACAUGGUGAAAAGUUUAGAAAAAUAUGCAUUUUGUGUAUGGGCGUUGAAAAAUAGCUUAACAACGCCAGCUGGAAUGCAGCCCCUG